GAUAGGUCUCUGUCGCUACUGUGAUUGGACACUGACAGAGAGUCAACUAGCCUCGUACGCACGGUUCUUCGCGCGCGGGACCGAGGACGGUCCGAGCCACGAGGGGGGAGGUUCGGACCGUCCGCC
rnacentral:ncRNA from 1 species